rnacentral:misc_RNA from 1 species
AAGUCGUAACAAGGUCUCCGUAGGUGAACCUGCGGAGGGAUCAUUACAGAGAACAUCGCCCUCACGGGUGACUCUCCAACCCCAUGUCGUUAUAACCUUUGUUGCUUUGGCGAGCCGCCUCGGCCACCGGCUCCGGCUGGUGAGUGCUCGCCAGAGGACCCCCAACCCUGAAUAUUAGUGUCGUCUGAGUACUAUAUAAUAGUUAAAACUUUCAACAACGGAUCUCUUGGUUCUG